AAUUAGCUUGGUAUCUGACAGUUACUUAUAACAAAAAUAAUUAAAGUAUAAUAUUGAAGAAAGUAAAGAAUAUUCUAAGGAAAGGAGGGAGGAGAUAUUAAAGAGCAAAAAUUAAUGAAAUAGAAAAAAACAGGGAAAAGUAAAUCCAAAAGAUCUUUGAAAAGACUAAUAAAACAGACACUACCCUCUCAUGAAAACAGUCAAGAUAAGAACAAAAGCACAAUUCAUCAGUAUUUGGGACAUAAAGGGGACAAUUACAGAUAGAACAGCAAUCAGAAAAAUAAAGAAUACUAACAAUUUAGCUCAUGUAUUUGAGAAAAAACCAAAAUGGACAAAUUCCCAGAAAAUAUGAUAAAACUGACUCAGCCCUCUUCUCUGCAGCUCUGGGAGCAGAUCUCCUGCCACAGCCCCUCAUUCCCUGAAAAUGUACCCUUUUGCCAAGUUUGUCUCCACCCACUCCUUGAUCAGGAGAACCUCUCCACUACUGAGCUGACUGAUCACUGUCUGCAGUGAUGCUGAAAUGACCAGACGGAGACACUGACAGAUGAGAGCCACAGCAGCUUGGCAGCCCCAUGUCCCAAUCACCUCACUUAUUCCUAGUUGCAGCUUCUAAGCCAGUGCCUUCUCACAGGACACUGACAGAGCAGCCAAGUUCACUGGAGCUGGGGCUGCCAUAGCAGGGGUGGCUACCUCUAGGGCUGGACCUGGAGGUGUGUUUGGGAUUCUCAUCAUUGGUUAUGCCAGGAACCCUUCUCUGAAGCAACAGCUCUUUUCCUGUGCUGUUCUGGGCUUUGACCUCUUGGAGACCAUGAGGCUCUUUUGACAGAUGGUGGCCUUUCUCAUCCUCUUCCCCUCGUGAAGGAGCGAUCUCCAACUCCUAUAGUUCUUUCUCCUAUGUCUUGUCUGAACUGUACGUUCCUUUUCGUGUAAUUCCCCAGGCAGCCUGGGGAAAGUGGUUGGCUCAGGGUUUUACAGAGGGACACAAAAAAAUACUGUAUUAGUAAGAAAAAAAAAAGACUCAAAAAAGACAUGGAAAAAUAUAAAAAGUCCUAUAAUCACAAAUUUAAAAAAAAGAGGGCCCAAAGUGAUUUCACAGAGUUCUACCAAACUUUCACAAAAGAACACUACCAGCUUAUACAAACUCCUCCAGAGAACAGAAAAAGAAGGAAUACUCCCUAAAUGAAUCUAGGUUUAAUCCUCAUAUCAAAAUCAGAUAAAAUGGGGGAAAAAAUACAUGCCAGUCUCACUCAUGAUUAUAGAUGCAACAAUCUAUACAAAAUACUAGCAAAACAAAUCCAGCAAUUAAAAAAAAAGAAAAUACAUCACUACAAGCUGGGUUUAUCACAGGAAUGCAACAUUAGAAAAAAAAA